GACGAACGCUGGCGGCGUGCCUAAUACAUGCAAGUUGAGCGCUGAAGGUUGGUACUUGUACCAACUGGAUGAGCAGCGAACGGGUGAGUAACGCGUGGGGAAUCUGCCUUUGAGCGGGGGACAACAUUUGGAAACGAAUGCUAAUACCGCAUAAAAACUUUAAACACAAGUUUUAAGUUUGAAAGAUGCAAUUGCAUCACUCAAAGAUGAUCCCGCGUUGUAUUAGCUAGUUGGUGAGGUAAAGGCUCACCAAGGCGAUGAUACAUAGCCGACCUGAGAGGGUGAUCGGCCACAAUGGGACUGAGACACGGCCCAAACUCCUGCGGGAGGCAGCAGUAGGGAAUCUUCGGCAAUGGACGAAAGUCUGACCGAGCAACGCCGCGUGAGUGAAGAAGGUUUUCGGAUCGUAAAACUCUGUUGGUAGAGAAGAACGUUGGUGAGAGUGGAAAGCUCAUCAAGUGACGGUAACUACCCAGAAAGGGACGGCUAACUACGUG
rnacentral:rRNA from 1 species